rnacentral:rRNA from 1 species
GACGAACGCUGGCGGCGUGCUUAACACAUGCAAGUCGAACGGAAAGGCGCUGCUCUUGUGGGGUGCUCGAGUGGCGAACGGGUGAGUAACACGUGAGUAACCUGCCCUUGACUUUGGGAUAAAUUCAGGAAACUGGGGCUAAUACCGGAUAGGAGCUCCUGCUGCAUGGUGGGGGUUGGAAAGUUUCGGCGGUUGUGGAUGGACUCGCGGCUUAUCAGCUUGUUGGUGGGGUAGGUGCGUACCAAGGCUUUGACGGGUAGCCGGCCUGAGAGGGUGACCGGCCACAUUGGGACUGCGAUACGGCCCAGAAGCCUACGGGAGGCAGCAGUGGGGAAUAUUGCACAGUGGCGGGGAGCCUGAUGCAGCGACGCCGCGUGCGGGAUGACGUCCUUCGGGUUGUAAACCGCUUUCGCCUGUGACGUGGCGUGAUUGACGGUAAUUGGUCAAGAAGCACCGGCUAACUACGUG